rnacentral:rRNA from 1 species
GAUUAAGUUAUUAAGGGCGCACGGUGGAUGCCUUGGCACUAGAAGCCGAUGAAGGACGUUACUAACGACGAUAUGCUUUGGAGAGCUGUAAGUAAGCGUUGAUCCAGAGAUUUCCGAAUGGGGAAACCCAGCAUGAGUUAUGUCAUGUUAUCGAUAUGU